rnacentral:rRNA from 1 species
GAUGAACGCUGGCGGCGUGCUUAACACAUGCAAGUCGAACGAAGCACUCUAUUUGAUUUUCUUCGGAAAUGAAGAUUUUGUGACUGAGUGGCGGACGGGUGAGUAACGCGUGGGUAACCUGCCUCAUACAGGGGGAUAACAGUUGGAAACGACUGCUAAUACCGCAUAAGCGCACAGGAUUGCAUGAUCCGGUGUGAAAAACUCCGGUGGUAUGGGAUGGACCCGCGUCUGAUUAGCCAGUUGGCAGGGUAACGGCCUACCAAAGCGACGAUCAGUAGCCGACCUGAGAGGGUGACCGGCCACAUUGGGACUGAGACACGGCCCAAACUCCUACGGGAGGCAGCAGUGGGGAAUAUUGCACAAUGGGGGAAACCCUGAUGCAGCGACGCCGCGUGAGCGAAGAAGUAUUUCGGUAUGUAAAGCUCUAUCAGCAGGGAAGAAGAAUGACGGUACCUGACUAAGAAGCACCGG